AGAACUCCAGAAAAAGACCAAACUCAUGGAUCAAUUUGAAAAAUAGAAGUCUUGCAAAUUCAUUAUUCAUGGCACAUCAUAAUACAGAGUCCUCAAAAAACCAUUGAACCACAUCAGUACUCAAAAAACCAAUGCACCACAUCGAAGACAUCAAUCUUGAGCAAGUCCUAACAUAAUAUAUCAAAAUGAACUUCCCAAAUCCUAACACAAAACAUUGAAAUGAACUUCCAAGUCCUAACUCAAACUCUCCAUGGUGUUCCUCUUUUUGCUGGAGACUUAAGUCUUCUUUGCUGGGUUUCUGUUGUCGUGCCUUGGUUUGAUGAAGAAGGUUGUGAAAGAGGAGGCUGUGAACCCACUCUUGGUACCGAUGUAUGAAAUUGUGCAGUUGUUGUCCUGUUAUGGCCUCCUCUUGCCACCUAAACAUAUUAAUAUACUAGUAAAAUGCCAAAGAAAAUGAUAUUAUAUUUUGACCAUAGAAAAAAUGACAUAUGAAAGUGAAAGAACCUUUAACUCUUGUUUCCUUUGCUUAACUGGCUUAUCUUUAGGUUCAUUUCGCCCAAUUUGAGGUUGCAAAUCAAAUCUCAACAUUAUUAUGAAUAAUAUACAAGGUCGCACCUGUUUAUAACUUUUUAUAUUGAAAUGAAAUGUGCAAAGGAAUUUUAUACCUGUUUGGUAGCUGUAUUUGUGCUAGAGGUCCCAUUGGAACCCCAAAUAGAGAGGAAGGCCCGAUGAGGAAAUGGAGGGAAAAUGUUAUAUACUGCAGUUUAGAGCACCAAAAUGGAGGGCCGAUGAAGAAAUGGAGGGAAAUGGUUCUGUCAAUUGGGUUUGAUCAAAAAGGUUGAGUGGAAUGAUGAGAUUAUAUUUCAAAAAGCAGGAUGAACACGUGAGUUUAACUUCAGUUUUAAUAGAAACUAACAGAAGGACUAUUUUGAUGGAUGGAUGAUAACCUGAAGGACUAUUAGUGUCACAAAAAAACCUGAAGGACGUGAAGGACCAUUUGUGAUAAAAAACAUUAAAAUAAUAAUAAAUAAAAAGCCAGCAACCACCAUCUUCUUCCCAUCGCAGCACCACCCCAACAGCAAACCCAGCAGCACUAGCCCACCCCAAAUUCAAGCCCUAUCACCUUCGCAAUCCAAUCUCUACCAACGACAUCGAACUUCAAAAACAAGCAAGAAUCAAGGGGCAUAUAAUCCAGAUCUGCCGCCUCUUAAUCUCUUUAUUUUUUACUUUUCUUCACAACCUCUCAAUCUCCUCAUUUGGACUAUGGUGUGGGAGACUAUGUUGUUGAGUUGUGGGGGUGGGCCACCUGUGAUGGGAAAAAGAGAUAAAGAGGAAGGGAUGGUGCUGCCCCUUCUCUCCUCUUCUCCCUUAAUUGACAUGCUAAUCUCGUAAAAGGAGAUUGCAUACAAAUGAGGUUUUUUGCUUUUGUUUUCUGGAUAUUCAUGGGUUUCGAUCCAUUUGUUGUGUGGCGAAUUGGUUGUGUGUAUGGGCUGUGAAUGAUUGGAUCUAGUAGGGGAUGGCGGUUGCCAGGUUUGUAGGGGGAAUUGUGGCAGAUUGGUGCAUGUUGGGGUGUGGUCUACCAUGGGCGGGUUGCAGGUGGGGAUGAAGUUAAACUUGAGGGUGGCUCGGGCAGCGUGGGAAAUAUUGGGGAAGAUAGUGGUUGUAGGGAUUUAAUUUCUUACUAAUUUUUUUUAUAAAAUUUUUGUUUCUUUUUUCUUUUGGCUUUAUGAAUUUUUAUCGUUGUUUUUAAUUUUUUUGAAUUUGUUUGAUUAAUUUAUUGCUUAUGUGGAGUCCACGUAAGCAUAAAAUAGCCCAAGUAUACAAAAUUACUUAAAUAUUCUUGCCACGUUAUUAGAUUUAACAAAAUUUUGGAUGAAGUUGUGGGUUUUUUAAUAUAUUUGUUUUAAUAAAUAGUAUAGCCGGACGGCUAUACUAUUUUUAAAUAUAAUAUGCUUAAAUAGUAUAGCCGGGCGGCUCUACAACAAUUUUUUAUUAUAAAAACAGUAUAGCCGCCUGGCUAUACUGUUUU
rnacentral:lncRNA from 1 species